CACGGGAGCAAUCCUGGUGGCGAGUGGCGAACGGGUGAGUAAUACAUCGGAACGUGUCCUGGAGUGGGGGAUAGCCCGGCGAAAGCCGGAUUAAUACCGCAUACGCUCUGAGGAGGAAAGGGGGGGAUCUUAGGACCUCUCGCUCAAGGGGCGGCCGAUGGCAGAUUAGCUAGUUGGUGGGGUAAAGGCCUACCAAGGCGACGAUCUGUAGCUGGUCUGAGAGGACGACCAGCCACACUGGGACUGAGACACGGCCCAGACUCCUACGGGAGGCAGCAGUGGGGAAUUUUGGACAAUGGGCGCAAGCCUGAUCCAGCAAUGCCGCGUGUGUGAAGAAGGCCUUCGGGUUGUAAAGCACUUUUGUCCGGAAAGAAAACUUCGGGGUUAAUACCCCUGGAGGAUGACGGUACCGGAAGAAUAAGCACCGGCUAACUACGUGCCAGCAGCCGCGGUAAUACGUAGGGUGCGAGCGUUAAUCGGAAUUACUGGGCGUAAAGCGUGCGCAGGCGGUCCGCUAAGACCGAUGUGAAAUCCCCGGGCUUAACCUGGGAACUGCAUUGGUGACUGGCGGGCUAGAGUAUGGCAGAGGGGGGUAGAAUUCCACGUGUAGCAGUGAAAUGCGUAGAGAUGUGGAGGAAUACCGAUGGCGAAGGCAGCCCCCUGGGCCAAUACUGACGCUCAUGCACGAAAGCGUGGGGAGCAAACAGGAUUAGAUACCCUGGUAGUCCACGCCCUAAACGAUGUCAACUAGUUGUCGGGUCUUCAUUGACUUGGUAACGUAGCUAACGCGUGAAGUUGACCGCCUGGGGAGUACGGUCGCAAGAUUAAAACUCAAAGGAAUUGACGGGGACCCGCACAAGCGGUGGAUGAUGUGGAUUAAUUCGAUGCAACGCGAAAAACCUUACCUACCCUUGACAUGUAUGGAAUCCUGCUGAGAGGUGGGAGUGCCCGAAAGGGAGCCAUAACACAGGUGCUGCAUGGCUGUCGUCAGCUC
rnacentral:rRNA from 1 species